AUUCAACUGGCGAGUCCCAAAUAGGACGAAACGCGCGUCCUGGAU
rnacentral:hammerhead_ribozyme from 1 species